rnacentral:rRNA from 1 species
CACCGCCCGUCACACCAUGGGAGUCAAUUGCUCCAGAAGUCGCCGUGCCAACCGCAAGGAAGCAGGCGCCCAAGGAGUGAUUGGUAACUGGGGUGAAGUCGUAACAAGGUACCC